rnacentral:rRNA from 1 species
UACGAAGGGGGCGAGCGUUGUUCGGAAUCACUGGGCGUAAAGGGCGCGUAGGCGGCCGAUUAAGUCGGGGGUGAAAGCCUGUGGCUCAACCACAGAAUUGCCUUCGAUACUGAUUGGCUUGAGACCGGAAGAGGUCAGUGGAACUGCGAGUGUAGAGGUGAAAUUCGUAGAUAUUCGCAAGAACACCAGUGGCGAAGGCGGCUGACUGGUCCGGUUCUGACGCUGAGGCGCGAAAGCGUGGGGAGCAAACAGG